UCAAAUAAAUAAAAUCUUAAAAAAAAAUUAAAAAAAUCCUUUAAAAACAUUUAUUUUUUAUGAUCUCUCAUGAUUUCUAUAUGCUAGAUAUUCAGACAGGGUACGGUGGGGAUGAUGAAUGGAGCCUUAAAUGUAAGAAGGCUGGAGCUGGAAUCAUGAGGCUCGUUUACUCACAUGUCUGGUGGUUGAUGCUGACUGUUGGCUGGAACACUUGCCUAAGGGCUUCUCCUUGUGGCCUGGGCUUCCUCACAACAUGGUGGCUGGGUUCCAAGGGCAAGCAUAUUGGACAGACGUGGGUACCCUAUCAUGGAAUGGACUCCAGAGCUACACUGUCUGGAUUUGCAUCCCAGAUCUGCUACUUCCUGAUUGAGUAACUUCUGGGGCUGUCGCUGAUUGGCUGGCUUGCAGAGGCUGGGGGCUGUCCUUGACUUGCUGACUUUCAGAAGCUUGGUUACCGGGGUGAGAUCAUCGCUGAUUGGCUGAUUUUCAGAACAAAAAUCAUUCUAUUUACUUAUUUGUCUCGGAGAGAGAGAGCACAAGCAGGGGGAGCGGUACAGGGAGAGGGAGAAGCAGUGAUGAUCCUGCCAAGUAAGCCCAAUACUGGACUCGAUCCCAGGACUCCUGGAGCGUGACCCAAGCUGAAGGCAGACGGUUAACCGACUGAGCCGCCCAGGUGCUCCUCAUCUAUUUAACCUCACACCCAUUUCAUAAGGUCCUCUGCCCUUUCUAGAACAUGCUGUCUGUGCAGGGAGUGUUGUCCAGCGUGGAGACUACAGGCAGGUUGCUUCCAGAUCUGGGUGUCCCCUCAGUGACUACUCCGGCCUAGCAGGACCCCCUGGAUCUCUCUAGAUCUUUGCUGGGGAUGUGUGAAGGCAGAAGUGGCUCCUGGCCGGACACACGCUACUUUAAGUUGGAGGACUCACACUCUGCUCAGGCGGCAACAAUGGUAACAACAACCAUUCAAAACACUCACAAGUGGCUGUAUUUACACACCAGAGACCUUGCUCAGAGUUUGGCAUGUAUCAUCUCAUUUAAUCAGCAGAACAGCCCUGGGAGCUACGUGCUUCCUUAUUUGACAGAUGAGGAAGCUGAGGCCAGGCGAUGUUUCUUGCUGAGGUCACAUAGUUGAUGAAUGACAGAACUAAGACUUGAACCUAAGUCUUUCUAGAGUUCAUGUGCUAAAACUACAAGGCUACGUUGCUUGAAUGACCUGCGACCAUUUGGAAACACAGCCUCUGUUUAUAUUUUUAUAAUCAUUUAUGUAUGUACUUGUUCAUAUAUAAAUAUGUAUAUAUAUUUUUAAAAGAUUUUAUUUAUUUGACAGAGAGAGAGCGAACACAAGCAGGGGAAGUGGCAGAGGAAGAGGGAGAAGCAGGCUUCUCACUGAAGAAGGGGCCCGAUAUGGGGCUCAAUCCCAGGACCCCUGGGAUCAAGACCCAAGCCCAAGGCAGACACUUAACCAAAUGAGCCACCCAGGUGCCCUAAUAUUUUUUAAUAAAUUAAUGAAUAAAGCACUUAGCAUAGGGGCUGGCACAUGAGACUCAUGAGUGUUUAUGACAGUUACAAUGGAUAUGUUCUUUUUUUUUUAAAAGAUUUUAUUAUUUAUUUGAGAGAGAAAGAAAGCGAGAGAGAUCACAGAGGGAGAUGGAGAAGCAGAUGCCCCACUGAGCAGGGAGCCUGACAUGGGACCCGAUCCCAGGACCCUGGGAUCAUGACCUGAGCCGAAGGCAGAUGCCCAACUGACUGAGCCACCCAGG